rnacentral:sRNA from 1 species
CAGAGGAAAGAUGCCCUCAAGGCUGUAGACACUGUCCUGAAGUACAUGACCAAGUGGAUCCAGGAGCGGGGCCUGCAGGACCGCCUGAACGUCAUUAUUUUCUCGGAUCACGGAAUGACCGACAUUUUCUGGAUGGACAAAGUGAUUGAGCUGAAUAAGUACAUCAGCCUGAAUGACCUGCAGCAAGUGAAGGACCGCGGGCCUGUUGUGAGCCUUUGGCCAGCCCCUGGGAAACACUCUGAGAUAUAUAACAAACUGAGCACAGUGGAACAUAUGACUGUCUACGAGAAAGAAGCCAUCCCAAGCAGGUUCUAUUAUAAGAAAGGGAAGUUUGUCUCUCCUUUGACUUUAGUGGCUGAUGAAGGCUGGUUCAUAACUGAGGUAAUUAUGAAAUAUGUGCCAAUUUAUUCUCUAUGCAAAUUCUAUAAAACAGUCCAAAGUUAAAUAAUAGUUACUCAAGU